UGGGAAUUUGGACAAUGGGGCACCCUGAUCCAGCAAUGCCGCGUGUGUGAAGAAGGCCUUCGGGUUGUAAAGCACUUUUGUCCGGAAAGAAAACGCCGUGGUUAAUACCCGUGGCGGAUGACGGUACCGGAAGAAUAAGCACCGGCUAACUACGUGCCAGCAGCCGCGGUAAUACGUAGGGUGCAAGCGUUAAUCGGAAUUACUGGGCGUAAAGCGUGCGCAGGCGGUCCGCUAAGACAGAUGUGAAAUCCCCGGGCUUAACCUGGGAACUGCAUUUGUGACUGGCGGGCUAGAGUAUGGCAGAGGGGGGUAGAAUUCCACGUGUAGCAGUGAAAUGCGUAGAGAUGUGGAGGAAUACCGAUGGCGGAGGCAGCCCCUGGGCCAAUACUGACGCUCAUGCACGAAAAGCGUGGGGAGCAAACAGGAUUCAGAUACCCUGGUAGUCCACGCCCUAAACGAUGUCAACUAGUUGUCGGGUCUUCAUUGACUUGGUAACGUAGCUAACGCGUGAAG
rnacentral:rRNA from 1 species